GACGAACGCUGGCGGCGUGCCUAAUACAUGCAAGUCGAGCGGAUUGAUGGGAGCUUGCUCCCAUCARUCAGCGGCGGACGGGUGAGUAACACGUGGGUAACCUGCCUGUAAGACUGGGAUAACUCCGGGAAACCGGGGCUAAUACCGGAUAACUCAUUUCCUCGCAUGAGGAAAUGUUGAAAGGUGGCUUUUAGCUAUCACUUACAGAUGGACCCGCGGCGCAUUAGCUAGUUGGUGAGGUAACGGCUCACCAAGGCGACGAUGCGUAGCCGACCUGAGAGGGUGAUCGGCCACACUGGGACUGAGACACGGCCCAGACUCCUACGGGAGGCAGCAGUAGGGAAUCUUCCGCAAUGGACGAAAGUCUGACGGAGCAACGCCGCGUGAGUGAUGAAGGUUUUCGGAUCGUAAAACUCUGUUGUUAGGGAAGAACAAGUACCGUUCGAAUAGGGCGGUACCUGAC
rnacentral:rRNA from 1 species